rnacentral:tRNA from 1 species
CAGAAAAUAGUUUAUAAAAUAUUAACUUUGGAAGUUAAAGAUCAGGAUACCCCUGUUUUCUGA